GACGAACGCUGGCGGCGUGCUUAACACAUGCAAGUCGAACGGUGACGAGGAGCUUGCUCCUCUGAUCAGUGGCGAGCGGGUGAGUAACACGUGAGCAACCUGCCCCAGACUCUGGGAUAACAGUUGGAAACAGCUGCUAAUACCGGAUACGAGACGGAGAGGCAUCUCUACCGUCUGGAAAGUUUUUCGGUCUGGGAUGGACUCGCGGCCUAUCAGCUAGUUGGUGAGGUAAUGGCUCACCAAGGCGACGACGGGUAGCCGGCCUGAGAGGGCGACCGGCCACACUGGGACUGAGACACGGCCCAGACUCCUACGGGAGGCAGCAGUGGGGAAUAUUGCACAAUGGGCGAAAGCCUGAUGCAGCGACGCCGCGUGAGGGAUGACGGCCUUCGGGUUGUAAACCUCUUUCAGCAGGGAAGAAGCGAAAGUGACGGUACCUGCAGAAGAAGCACCGGCUAACUACGUG
rnacentral:rRNA from 1 species